UGGACUGACUGGAGUGGCAAGCCAGGCAGGAACAAGGACUUCCCCCAGGGCCCAGGCCGUGGGUCGGACCUGGGUACAAGGAAGGAUGUCUGAAGGCGCACAGGAGCUCCGGCCUCUGAUUUUUGUAUCGAUUUGAGAUCUGUAGCUGCAGGACGUGCGGGUGUGCCUGGAUGUCGAUGAUUUAGUUAAAGAGAGGUGGUGUCAUGUGGUCUCUCGGAGAGGGGAGAGUGGCGGACUGUGGAGUACCAGGAGCCUCCGCUGUCCUUGUGCGCCCUCGCCUGUCCGAAAAAGGGAAAAGGCCCCGAAGCAGCAGACUCCCCCCUCCCCCAGGCCGGCGGCAGAGGAGUGAGGGAAAUUCCUUUGGCUUUCUCCCCCGACUCUUUCAUCUGGAAAAAAAGGUGCUCCCGUUGACCGUGGAUUUGAUCAGUUCCCCCGCAUGGCCCCUGUGUGGUCCGCCAGGCCCCUCUGUCGUCGCCAUCGCCGUCGGCCCACAUUUCUGUCACCUGUGGAUAAAUCAACAGUUGCUCUCCGAAUCAGGUUCACAUUUACUCACAUAUUCCUGCUCCUUCAUUUACACGCUAACUGAGUGCAAACUCUGGUUGUGUCAUGUUUCAGCCGAAUGGCUUUAUAAUCCCCCCGCAACUGUAGCAGCAACAUAAUAACUGCUGAGCCAAGACUGUUCACAAUUCAAGUUCAAAAACACUUUAUACAUUAAAAAGUGUGCGAUCUAUCUGUUAUGGGGAUUAAUCCUAUUUAUAAUUUCAAAUAAUAUUUUGUCUGAAAAUGCCAUACCAUUUAUUAAUGACAGCCUUCCAUCUGAACCUAUGGUUUGUUUUGCUUGUGCGAACACUAGUCCGUACGCGCAAUACACAACUCGGUGUUUAGUCAAGUUGUAUUCUGUGAAAUUUUAAUGAGAGCACAUAAGAAUGUGCUCAUUACAGGUCACAUUUGGCACCAGUCUUAUUAUAUUGUCCGAAGACAGUGUUGCUAUUUUAGAUAAAGAUUCAGACGUGGAGGCCCAUUUUUCAACCAUGAAAUGAAAACAAAACAAGCCUGCAGUCAAACGCUGUGCUUUUUAUUUCACUUGAAGACUUAAACUACAGGAGGUUUCUUUGCAAGCGACUGAAUGCUCCUUUUUAGCCUCCUUUACAGCCUAUAGGCCUACCUGAUGUGGCGUUACACUGUAUUUUCAAAUGCUCCCCACACUUGAUUGUUUACUUGUUGUCUGACAAGGUUUUAUGGCACAAGGAUUGGGCUAUCCACAUGUCGCAGUCUCUUCCUGACAAAACCUCUACUCUCCUAGCAGUCCAAACCAAUGGCUACUCUUAAUUUAACGUGGCAGGAGGAAAUCUAGACAAUGCAGUAACGUUAAGUGUUAGUGUAAGUGCUAAGUCUAAAUUGGUGAAUCCAGACUGGAUUUAUGUAAGUGUGCUGUAGGUUAUGAAGAUGUAGCAAGGGAGACUAUAAGGACAAGAAAACAGUGUCUCUGAAUAAAUACACUUAUUUGUCAGAGUACCGCAUCUACUGAAUACUUUUUUCGGUUAUUUACUGCUAAAAGUUAAGAAGACCGUUCGCAAAUAAUUAAAACAUCCUGCGCUAUUUUUUGUACAGUAAUAAUAGUAACAGUUAACCUUUACUUAAAGCACUUAAGAUAUUAUGACAAUAAGUCGUUCUGUUGAGCACCAGCCUCCUAAGUAACA